rnacentral:rRNA from 1 species
GGCGCACGGGUGAGUAACACGUAGCUAACCUGCCCCGAAGAGUGGGAUAACCCUGCGAAAGCAGGGCUAAGACCGCAUAAGCUCGCGACCUGUAGAGGAUUGCGAGAAAAGAACUUCGGUUGCUUCGGGAGGGGGCUGCGACCCAUCAGGUAGAUGGUGCGGUAACGGCGUACCAUGCCAACGACGGGUAGGGGACCUGAGAGGGUGAACCCCCACACUGGGACUGAGACACGGCCCAGACUCCUACGGGAGGCAGCAGUGAGGGAUAUUGCACAAUGGGCGCAAGCCUGAUGCAGCGACGCCGCGUGGGUGAUGACGGUCUUCGGAUUGUAAAACCCUUUUCUGGUUGACGAGCAAGGACGGUAGACCAGGAAGAAGUGUCGGCUAACUACGUGCCAGCAGCCGCGGUAAAACGUAGGACACGAGCGUUAUCCGGAGUUACUGGGCGUAAAGGGCGUGCAGGCGGCAUGGUAAGUCUGAUGUGAAAGCUCCCGGCUCAACCGGGAGAGGACAUUGGAGACUGCCAAGCUCGAGGCAGAUAGAGGGAUGUAGAAUUCCGGGUGUAGUGGUGAAAUGCGUAGAGAUCCGGAGGAAUACCAGAGGCGAAGGCGGCAUCCUGGGUCUGACCUGACGCUGAGACGCGACAGCAUGGGGAGCGAACGGGAUUAGAAACCCCGGUAGUCC